AGGAAACCAACUAACCACCCUAAGAUGCAGCACAGUGAAACGUGGGGAUUAUCGGAUGCACGGAUGGGAAGCAGCGCAAAGAUGACAUCUCCAACCAAGGCAAGCAGCACUGUACUUGGGAGCAGGGCAGUGGACACAGGGAGGGCUCAAGGUCAAUUCACUGAAAGAACUCAUACUCGUAGCAGCGGACCCACAGAAUCAAAGCUCCUUCUGGUCCCCAUAGGCUCCUGUGGGCGCUUGAUUAACAGAGAUGGGAGCCCUCGCCACCACCUGCACCCAGGAACUGAAUCAUGAGUCUUUUGAAGAUAACCUCACAUCCGAGAAACAGGAUGUAAAUUGUCUGAAGAUCUAUUUAUUCAUUCAUCAAAUACAGGUGCAUUAGAGUACCUGCCUUCUCCCAGGUGCUAUGGCAGACACCCUCCUGGCAGGGUGACAGGACCAUUAUGAACAGCCAGUGAAAGGACAGCAGGGUUCUGGAGGAGACUGUCUGGCUCUGGCAUGUAUGUCCCUUAGUCCCCAUGUCUUAGCCUCUGCUGGAGGUUGGAUUAAGAACAGGCCUAGAUGUUGAAGCUAUGUGAGAAAAAAAAGCAGCCCAGGUCACCUGGCUGUCCUGGAGGCUGGGACAACAUGGCCACCUACCCACUCAUAGUCCUCUGUGGCCAGGCUAGCGAGAUAGCAGCUCAUGAGGAGAGCCGAGUUUGUAGAUGGAAGCACUCUACAGUGCCUGUACUAGUGGCUGUUCUUGAAGGACCCAGCAGUCAAGAUAACUUCUCCAGACCCCAGUCUUUCUUUAGGGAAGCAUUUCCUCACUUGCCACGGCCAGAAGAAAAGGACCCACCACCCCAUGCCCAGGGCUUCCAUGCUGCCACGGCCAUAUGGCCAGGCACACUGUCCACCUUAGGGACAGAAAGAUGGAGCAUUCCAACUGGAAACCGAAAUAAGGCCUCAGUCAAGACUCGCCUCCUGCUAAAACCAGGCAGGGCCAGUGCAAAGCAAAUAAAACCAGGGUGAGGAGACAAGGGCAUCUCUGGCAUAAGGAGUCAGCAUUUAGUCUAGGUCUAGCUGGAGGGGUCUGCGGGACUGGGGGAGCUCAGGGACGGUUUCCAGUCACUGUCUACGGGAUCUCUAGGGGAUCAGGUACUCCAGGGACUAAGCCCUGCCCUCCACAGUACCAGGGCCUAUCAGACCUUGGGCAAAUCAGUCCACUUGUCAGAGUCUGGUAACUGAGUGAAUCAUGGCAAGUAAGAUAUCGUGAUGAGCGUCAGACCUCAGCAGCAGCAGUGAAUCACAUCGCCUUCCCGGAGCAGCCUCUUCUCCCUCCCACGUGAUACAGGAAGAGAAGAUGGGUGGCCCCUGGGGACUCUAACAUCUGAGCAGUGAGACUCCUGCAGUGUGACAGUAGAGAGAGGAAUCGUGGACACUGAGGACAUAGGGUAAGCCUUCUGGCGCUGCCUCUAGCCUGCUAAGGACCUGAACAGCUCCUUCAGUUCACCCACAAAAUACCUAGCCCAUCAGCCUGGCCCAUCCUCCUCUCCAGCUCCAGGGAAGAAUCAGGCAGAUCAACCUAGCAGCCAUAGAGCAGGUUGCUAUGCAUAUGUACCAUGCAUACAUAUAUGCACACGUCUCUAUAUACAUACAAAUUCCUAUAUGUGUAUGAGCAUAUAUGUAUGUAAGUAUGGACUAAAUACAUAUGAACACAGACUCAUUACAACAAACUUACCCGUGCAUACAUAAGCACACAUAUAUGGGAGGGGCUCAUACCCUAUGUCGAAGCAGCUCUCUUAUGUAACUCACAAUCACAGUUAGGACAACGAUUCCAUCAUCACUGCUAUUUAUUAAACAGAGUCACCCCCAGGAUUUUGUAUGUUGACUCCCCAAUCCUCUAGUGCCUGGAAAUAUGACUGUAUUCUAAGUCAGGAUCUAUAAAGAGGUGAUUACAUUAAAAUAAUAGCAUUAGGGUGGGGCCUUAAUUCCAUUUGACUGUCCUCCAUGCAAACAGGGAAGAGGCCACAUGAGGGUACAGCGUGACCAUGGCCAUCUAGAAGAGAUUGACCAUUGAUGCCUUCAUCACAGUCCUCCAGCCUCUAGGAUUUUGGGCAGAGAGAGUUCUUGUGUUCAAGGACCCAGACUAUUGUUAUGGUAGACCCAGGAGACUUAAACAGUCAAGAAGCCACCAGGCUUAGUCAUAGGCUCCUUGCUUGUCCUUGAGUUCCCAGGAGCCAAUGCCCUGAACAUAGCUCUGUUGGCCAAGGGCAAGCUCCUCUCUCAGUCCUCACUUUUGGCACAGGCUCACCCCACUCUCCUCUAGGUAGGCCAAUUGCAGGCAGGCCAUGGGGCUUGUAAGCACCAGGGCACUACAGACCUCUCUGUUCGGCAGCCUGAGAUGUUGGCUUUGCCCUGGUCUGCAUCCUGCACCUUUGGCUGCCUUAGCCUCUUACUGCAAGCUCCAGACCUGACCACAGCAAGUAUGGCAUGGCCCACUGAGAGCUCUCUAUUGGCUUCUCAGACUUCUUCCAGGGGCAGACCAGAAAGAGGAGCAGGUAUGGGGGAGGGUAGCUGAUCUCUUCUCAGGCGAGAGCACCUAGCAGGUGAGAAGCAGGCUGUGUGCACAUUUGCUGUCCACACAAACACAUGCAAACACAUAAGUUCCCAUGUACAUAUGUAAUCAUGCACACACGUGCACAUGAAUACUUACAACCAGGUCAGAAAUUUGUGGGAAAACCCUUACUAGCUCUCUUUAUGUACCCCAGAACUGGGAGCCUCAUGGAAGUAGUGAGCCUUUCCCUACAUGUCUGGUCAGCAGACCUCGCUCAGCAGGCCCUCAGGCAUCUUGCUACACAGAAGUCAGAAGCCUUACUGUGCUCGUAAUAACCAGCUCUGGGUCCAGGGCCUGCUUGUGUUACUGAGCUGUGACAACCUGGUUACAGAGGAGGUGGAGGCUCUCUCUAUCGAGUGAACGGCUGCCUUGCUGUAUCCCUUUGUUUGUUUCUUCAAUGAGAGUGAAUGAAGUGCCUGCUUGUGCAAAGCACCAUGCUAGACUUGCUGGAGGAAGGGUGAGUAAGCUGCGGAAAGGCAGCUGUUGUGCAGGGAUAGACGGAUGACUAAGAUGAAGAUGAACAGGUCCUUUCUCUGUAAGCAAGUGGGUACCUGAUGAUGAGGGAGAUAAACCCCCCACACACACCCCAAUAAACAGCCUUCUCAGGAGUCUGUUUUGGCUAGCCUGUAUCCUAAGAGAGUCUGCUUGUUUUUCAAGCAUGUUUGGGGGGUUGGGGCUAGAGCCCCAGUCACACAGAGAUCUAUGUGUUCCUUGAUCUGCCAUGUAGAAAUGCUUACUCUGUCAUUCUGGGGGGAGCCAUGAAGAGAAUGGCUGAGUGGGACUGUGUUCACAGUUCUGGGGUGCAGGGCAGAGAGCUGACAAAGGCUGUGCCCCCCGAGACUCUGAGCACAUGAUGUCACCCCUCUGCUCCUCAGCUUAUAGCUUGAGGGAUGGACAUAGUGAGGGUCUGCCAAGGCCUAAACAGACUUCUCUGUUGGCGAGUCCAAGACUAGUUAGGACCACAAUUGUUGGUAACCAUGGUUGGCCCAGAAAGCACUGGGUCCCUACAUGUCUCCAGAGAAGAUCCAUCCUAUUAGUCGGGCCCAAGCUCUGGUUCCCCAAGGGCCUUGUCUCUUAGCCACCUGCAAACCCAGGGGCUGAAGAUGGUUGGGGAAGAAAUGCAGAACAUGCUGACCGAUUGCAUCUCAACUGAGUCUAUGAAGGGAUGCCCUCCCUCCAUGCCUGGUAUUUUCACUCAACGGUUCUUCUCUCUCCUCAAACGUCACUCCCCCUUUGCUAAUAUGAAGAUACAUUAAAAAGCAAAGCAUAUCGCAAA
ensembl:lincRNA 9930038B18Rik RIKEN cDNA 9930038B18 gene